rnacentral:misc_RNA from 1 species
UUUCCGUAGGUGAACCUGCGGAAGGAUCAUUACCGAACUGUCGACACGAGUUGUUGCUGGUCCUUGAAAGGGGUCACGUGCACGCUCUGUUUACACAUCCACUCUCACCUGUGCACCCUUGUAGUUCUAUGGCCUGGGGACUCUGUCCUCUUGCCGUGGUCCUACGUCUUUACACACACACCGUAACAAAGUAUCAUGGAAUGUACGCCGCGUCUGACGCAAUACAAUACAACUUUCAGCAACGGAUCUCUUGGCUCUC